CAAUAGCGUAUAUUAAAGUUGUUGCAGUUAAAAAGCUCGUAGUUGGAUUUCUGGUUGAAGCGACCGGUCGGGCGUUGAUUCGUCUGCACUGGAGUCGGUUUUGGCCAUCCUCUAGGAAAGUGCGUCUGGUAUUAAGUUAUCGGGCGUAUGAUCCUGGUCUUUUACUGUGAAAAAAUUAGAGUGUUUAAAGCAGGCCUUCGCCUUGAAUACAUUAGCAUGGAAUAAUAAGAUAGGACUUUGGUCUAUUUUGUUGGUUUGCAGACCGAAGUAAUGAUUAAUAGGGAUAGUUGGGUGUAUUUAUAUUCCGAUGUCAGAGGUGAAAUUCUUAGAUUUUCGGAAGAUAAACUUAUGCGAAAGCAUUUACCAAGGAUGUUUUCAUUA
rnacentral:rRNA from 1 species